rnacentral:rRNA from 1 species
UACGUAGGGUCCGAGCGUUGUCCGGAAUUACUGGGCGUAAAGAGCUCGUAGGCGGUUUGUCGCGUUGUUCGUGAAAACUCACAGCUCAACUGUGGGCGUGCGGGCGAUACGGGCAGACUAGAGUACUGCAGGGGAGACUGGAAUUCCUGGUGUAGCGGUGGAAUGCGCAGAUAUCAGGAGGAACACCAGUGGCGAAGGCGGUUCUCUGGGCCUUACCUGACGCUGAGGAGCGAAAGCGUGGGGAGCAAACAGG